rnacentral:lncRNA from 1 species
CAUAUCUUCAGCAGAGCAGUGACCAAAUGUGAACCUUCCUAGUCCACCUGGAAUCUAAUACGCUAGAUCAUUUUUUCUCAGUAAUCUAAAUGAAUUCAUAACUAUUCUCUCUGAAUCCAUCUAUUAGAAUAAUUUACAAGACAGUGUACUUCCCUUGACUUCUUGGCCUUCCUUAGAAUAACACUGGGAUGUUAGUUGGAUAUUUUCUAAUUCCCAAGUCUCUCCCCCUGGGGAGAACAAUGGAGUCUAGGAAAAGGACCUGUAACACAAACCUCAGAGAGGUUGCAGGUGUUUAAAAUACAUGAUACCUCCAAGGGCACAUCCCACACCCCACUCCCAGCACUGGAUGAGAUGUUCGCAGGAGCCUUGUGGUGGCUGAAACUCUCCAGCCACAGGCCGGCAGGUACGAAGAUAGGGCUGCUUCUUAGAUUCCAACUCCUGAAUGUCCUUCAUGAUUUUAUUUUUCUCCUAAGAUAUAUCUCCAUUUGUCUUAGUCAGUUUGAGCUGCUAUAACAGAACACCAUACACUGGAUGGCUUAAGCAACAAACAUUUAUUUCUCAUAGUUCUGGAGGCUGGGAAGUCCAAGAUCAAGGUGCUAGUCAAUUCACUGUUUGGUGAGAGCCCUCCUCCUGGUUUGCACAUGGCUACCUUCUUGCUAUAUCCUCACAUGGAGGAGGGAGAAAUCAUCUCUUUCUUGUCUCUUCUUAUAAAGGUAGUAAUCCCAUUCACGAGAGCUCCAGCUUCAUGGGCUAAUUACCUCCCAAAGGCCCCACCUCCAAACACCAUCACUUUGGGAAUUAGGAUUCAACAUAGGAAUUUAGAUGGGACACAAUCAUAUAGUCUGUAGCAUCAUUUGAUCACGUUACUACCAGUCCACACAAAGUUUCUUCUCUUAAUCCAUGACAAAUUUGAAAAAGGAGGAAGAAUUAGACUUUUGGUCUGAAGUGGGUAAAUAAACAUCUUGGCCCUAACAAUUGCAGGACCCAGCACAAGAGUAUAGACGGAGACUCUUAUACACCAUGAGCUGUGGGGCACUCAAUCCAAGCCAAGCAACUCUAGCCUACAAGGUGCUCCUGAUCUCUAACCUCUGCCAACAUCACACUUUUAAGGUUAGAAGGCCAGAUUGAACUAUAGAAUUCCCAGAUUUCUUAGAGUUCUAGACCAGAAUAUGGCAGCAUUGAGAGAGCCAGUCCCCUUUCACCCAGGCCCUGGACUGCAGCCUGCAUCUCUCCCUACUCUUCCCAUGCUGGGCUCCAUCCUAUGCUGCAAGGGACCUCCAGGACCAUGCGUGUGGACAUUCCAGCCAUCAAGUUCUAUACUCAUCUAUUUCUCAUGAGAGCACUUCCUCAGUAAAUGACUUACACAAGAAUCCACGUCUCAGGCUCUGCUUCCAUGGAUUUUGACCCAAGACAGAAGAGUAGCGAAAUACUGGAGCAACUGAUAGAAAAGGGAAUGGGAGAGAGGAGCAUUAAUUUGGACUUGCUUGGUAGAUACCAUCAAUCUUUUCCCAACAUAGUCUGAGUUCUCUUGGAGCACCCUUCACACAGAAUGAGUGUGAUCACAGCUAGAGGAGAAAACUGCAAGACACUGAAGAAGUAAGGCAUAUCAAUCUUGUUAGUUGGAGCCAGGGAGCAGACAUGGUGUGUGAUGCACCACGCGAAAAUGUGAUCCAGACAGACUCAACCAUAGCCUGACCUCAGAACAAUGCUUACCACAUCCAGCCAAAAAAUAAUGGCAACGAGAUGAUCAAGACAGUUGGUCUGGACACCAGAGAAUCCUUGAGAAAUGUGAGAGAAGCCAAUGGCAAAUGAUAGCAAAGAUUAAAGCGGGAUUCAUCAGUGUGUCGUUGACGUGUUUGGGCAUAUAAGGACUAGACUAUCAUGCAUUACAGCAAGCUAUCACUCCUGGCAGCUUUCAGGAAUCUGCAGGCUUCUACAAGACUAAGUCCCAUAUCACCACCCAAAUACUUUAUGUGAAGAAAAUUGUGCCUUUUCUCAGCAUUGUAUAUAAUAAUAAAACAUCAAAAU